GAGGGGUUGAGGGUUGAUUCCAGGAUUUGGGGGUUAAUUUCAAACUCAAUGCUUUCUCGUAUUCAGUGUGUAUCUUCCUUAGGAGUGAGUUUGGGUGGAGAAAAUAAUAUUGGCCUUUGACACUGACUUUCCAAUUACAGGGAGGCCAACCAAAGAGAACAGCCUUGGAAACAGCUUAACAUCCAGGCUGACAGAGAGAAUGAGGGGUUCAGUCUCGAUCUGGAAGUUGAGAGGUCAUCCUGGCAGGCUCCCCAGCCAUGUACUUCUUGGGGGUGACUUCCCAAAUCAACUAUUUGUCCUGACAUCAUUGUCUCUGACUCUACUUCUGAUGAACUCAGACCAAGAAACCUGGGUUGAUUGGUUCUCCUUACUGUCUCCAGAGAGAAGAUCUGACAACCAAGGCAGAGGACUCCAAACUGGGAAAGAGCAGGAAGCUGCGUCUUAUUGUCACUGUAGUUCCAGCACCUGGCAUAGUACCACACACGGGACAGGUGGAUACGUGCCCAGAAAGUAUUCCAUUAGAUUGAGUUAAUUAAUUAAAGUGUAUUCUCUCAUCAACUUGCUGUGUGAUUUUGGGCAAGUCACUUUACCUCUCUGAGCCACAUUUUCACCAUCUCCAAAUACAUCACCUACUUAGAAGAUGCAAUGAGAUAACAGCUGUGAAUGAGCUUUGUGAUUCUAACACCUUCUGAAUCUUAAGGGGUGAAUGAUUAGAAAGCUGCCUCUUAUUCUUGUUGCUGCUUUUCGAAAUGCCCAAAUGGGAACAUUUUAAUGGCUAAAAGGCAGCACCAAUUUUCUCAUUGAAAUUCUUUUAUUCGACAAAGUGGAUAAUCUUAGUGGAAGGAAUAUACAUUAUACUUUCUGUAAGAUGCAUUAAAGUUGUUUUCAUUUUGAAUUAAACAUGCUGUUUCUGAAUAUUUGUUCUGAAUUGGUCUUGUGCCCAAAAAA
ensembl:lincRNA